GAGGGCAUAGCUCAGUUGUAGAAUGUGUGCUUAGCAUGCACGAGGCCCUGGGUUCAAUCCCCAGUACCUCUG
rfam:Camelus ferus unplaced genomic scaffold scaffold1156, whole genome shotgun sequence.